rnacentral:rRNA from 1 species
UGCAAGUCGAGCGAGAAGGGUUUGGUGCUUGCAUUGAACCUGGAAAGCGGCGAAAGGGAGAGUAACGCGUAGAUAUGUACCCUAGGGUCUGGGAUAGCGUCGGGAAACUGGCGGUAAUACCGGAUAAUGUCCCCGGACCAAAGGUUUACUGCCCUAGGAGCAGUCUGCGUCCUACUAGCUUGUUGGUGGGGUAAUGGCCUACCAAGGCAAUGAUGGGUAGCGGGCGUGAGAGCGUGACCCGUCUCACUGGGACUGAGACACUGCCCAGACACCUACGGGUGGCUGCAGUCGAGAAUCUUCCGCAAUGGACGAAAGUCUGACGGAGCGACGCCGCGUGCGGGAUGAAGGCCCUCGGGUUGUAAACCGCUGUCAGAGGGGAGGAAAUUUUGACCGAACCUCAGAGGAAGUCCGGGCUAAGUUCGUGCCAGCAGCCGCGGUAACACGAACCGGACAAACGUUAUUCGGAAUUACUGGGCUUAAAGAGUGCGUAGGCGGCCAUGUAGGUGGGGUGUGAAAGCCCACGGCUCAACCGUGGAAUAGCGCUCCAAACCACUUGGCUUGAGGGAGACAGGGGUAAGCGGAACUGAUGGUGGAGCGGUGAAAUGCGUUGAUAUCAUCAGGAACACCAGUGGCGAAGGCGGCUUACUGGGUCUCUACUGACGCUGAGGCACGAAAGCUAGGGUAGCGAACAGGAUUAGAUACCCUGGUAGUCCUAGCUGUAAA